rnacentral:misc_RNA from 1 species
UCUUUUCUUUUGAUAGGAGAGUUUUUAAAACCAGUGUUAUUUUUGUAAGUUUAAGAGAAGUUUGUGUAUUGAAUUUUUAAUAUUAAAGAGCUUUGUUAAACUUAGACUUAAGUUUAGGUCAUUUUGGGGGUUUAGCUCAGUUGGCUAGAGCAUCGGCUUUGCAAGCCGAGGGUCAAGGGUUCGAGUCCCUUAACCUCCAUUGGGCUUAUGUCCUAAAUUGUAAUUAAGUAUGUUUUUAAGCAACUUUAUUAAAGUAAUUGUUGGAAUGUGAAACAGAGGAAGUUAAAAUUUCUGGGUUAAGUUGAGAUCUGUUGAUAUUAAGAAGAAUCUCUAGAAGCAAAAGCAAGCUUUCGAUAAAACCCGAAGUUGUUUCGCUAAAGUGCAAGGAUUAAACAGGAUUGUAUUUUCCAGUAGCCUAUUUUAUAAACGAUCUGCAUUUAGUAAAUAGUUUUUAGUUAGGAAAUAAUGUAUAUUGCUAAGUGUGAUGUC